UGUGUGUGUGUGUGUGUGUGUGUGUGUAUCUAUAUACAUAUACAUAUACAUAUACAUAUACAUAUACAUAUACAUAUACA